rnacentral:rRNA from 1 species
AUGUCAUGCUUCGACCUAACAAAAACAUUUUGUGCGGAACUGAACACUCUCCUUGGUAAGUUUUUGUGGAGCCAACAAGACAAGCAAAAUGCAAUGCAUUGGAUUAGCUGGGAGAAGUUGUGGCAACACAAGGAGAUGGGUGGAUUGGGCUUUCGGGAUAUGCAUAUGUUUAACUUGGACAUGUUGUCGAGGCAAGGAUGGAGGCUCCUUCAAAAUCCAACCAGCCUGUGUGCAAGAGUUCCGAAGGCUCGAUACUUUCCUAACUAUAGUGCUUUUGAGGCUGAAGCUCGCGAUGGAAUUUCGUACUCAUGGCGAAGCAUUCUGAAUGGGCUGGAUCUUGUGAAGCAAGGUUACAUAUGGAGAAUUGGCGAUGGCACAAGAGUGAAAAUUUGGUUGGACCCAUGGAUGCCAAGACCCUGGUCAAGACAUGUCAUGAAACCAAAAGGAACCAGUUUGCUAACUCAUGUUUCUGAACUGAUAUGCCCAAUUACAGGCGGCUGGGAUGAAGGUCUUGUCAAGGAUACUUUAUGUGCAAAAGAUGCUCGCCAUGUACUAAGCAUCUCGCCGAGGGAGGGGGUGGAUGACUUCAUAGCGUGGCAUUCUGAUAGCAAGGGUAACCACUCGGUGAAGAGUGCAUACAUACUUUAG